rnacentral:tRNA from 1 species
GCCUAUAGCUCAGUUGGUAGAGCAGUUGACUCUUAAUCAAUUGGUCGUGGGUUCGAGUCCCACUGGGCCC